UACGAAGGGGGCUAGCGUUGCUCGGAAUGACUGGGCGUAAAGCGCACGUAGGCGGAUCUUUAAGUCAGGGGUGAAAUCCCGAGGCUCAACCUCGGAACUGCCUUUGAUACUGGGGAUCUCGAGUCCGGGAGAGGUGAGUGGAACUGCGAGUGUAGAGGUGAAAUUCGUAGAUAUUCGCAAGAACACCAGUGGCGAAGGCGGCUCACUGGCCCGGAACUGACGCUGAGGUGCGAAAGCGUGGGGAGCAAACAGG
rnacentral:rRNA from 1 species